UGGGGAAUAUUGCGCAAUGGGGGAAACCCUGACGCAGCGACGCCGCGUGCGGGAUGAAGGCCUUCGGGUUGUAAACCGCUUUUGAUUGGGAGCAAGCUUUCGGGUGAGUGUACCUUUCGAAUAAGCGCCGGCUAACUACGUGCCAGCAGCCGCGGUAAUACGUAGGGCGCAAGCGUUAUCCGGAAUUAUUGGGCGUAAAGCGCGCGCAGGUGGUUUAGAAAGUCUGAUGUGAAAGCCCACGGCUCAACCGUGGAGGGUCAUUGGAAACUAAUAAACUUGAGUGCAGGAGAGAAAAGUGGAAUUCCUAGUGUAGCGGUGAAAUGCGUAGAGAUUAGGAGGAACACCGGUGGCGAAAGCGGCUUCUUGGCCUGCAACUGACACUGAGGCGCGAAAGCGUGGGGAGCAAACAGG
rnacentral:rRNA from 1 species